GAGCUCACUUCAGCAGCACACAUACUAACAUUGGAGUGAUACAGAGAAGAUUAGCAUGGCCCCUGUGCAAGGAUGACAUGCAAAUUCAUGAAGUGUUCCAUAUUUUU